AUUGAACGCUGGCGGCAUGCCUUACACAUGCAAGUCGAACGGCAGCAUGGAGAGCUUGCUCUCUGAUGGCGAGUGGCGAACGGGUGAGUAAUGCAUCGGAACGUACCGUGUAAUGGGGGAUAACGUAGCGAAAGUUACGCUAAUACCGCAUACGACCUGAGGGUGAAAGCAGGGGAUCGCAAGACCUUGCGUUAUACGAGCGGCCGAUGUCAGAUUAGCUAGUUGGUGGGGUAAAGGCUCACCAAGGCGACGAUCUGUAGCGGGUCUGAGAGGAUGAUCCGCCACACUGGGACUGAGACACGGCCCAGACUCCUACGGGAGGCAGCAGUGGGGAAUUUUGGACAAUGGGGGCAACCCUGAUCCAGCCAUGCCGCGUGAGUGAAGAAGGCCUUCGGGUUGUAAAGCUCUUUCGGCCGGGAAGAAAUCGCACAGGCUAAUACUCUGUGUGGAUGACGGUACCGGCAUAAGAAGCAUCGGCUAACUACGUGCCAGCAGCCGCGGUAA
rnacentral:rRNA from 1 species